CCUGAUUUCCCAUUGAAAAUGGGUUCAGGGUAUAAAAAAGAUUAUAUCCAUAUGAGAAUCGGUCUGGCCCAAGACUAGGAACUCUGCUUGAUGCUCGGUUUAAAAAGGAAGGAUUCCAAAAUGCAGGAAAUGCGCAACAAGCUGCAUUGGGUUUAGAGGAAGAGCUGUGCUCUAUCAAAGAUUGUGCGACAAAUCCUGAUUUAAAUGAGGAACUGCCGAAAGAGAAUAAGUCGCCAUUUUUAUUCAAAUUUAUGGAGCAAAAAGUGAUUGAGAAACGUUCUAAUCGCCGAGCGGACGCAAUUAUAAUGAUGCGGCAGUAUAUGGAGCAGCGCAAUGCAUCGCACGAUACUGAUCCGCUUCAGUAACUGAUAGAUUAAUGAAAAUCAAUUAAAUGGCCUUAGUCGCUGCGCCUUGAAGUAUUUGUCAAUUCCGGCAAGCUCCGUAGAGUCGGAACGCAUUUUUAGUAAGGCAGGAGCGAUCAUCACCGACCGAAGAACUUCUUUAAAAGAAAAGAAUGUAAACCAAAUCAUUUUUCUGAACAAAAAUCAAUGGUUGGAGAAUGAAGUUCAUCUAAAAAAUGAAGCUUUAUUACAGUAGUAAGAUUCGAAAGUCAAAUGAUCUCUUAUACUUUUUUAAAAUUAUUUUUGCUAAGCAACUGAAAUGGAGAAUGAAGUUGAUCUAGAAAUUUAAGCUUUAUUAUAGUAGUAAGAUUUGAAAGUGAAAUAAUUUUUUAUAUUUUUUGUAUUUUUUUUUUUUUUAUUAUUAUUAUUUUUGUUAAGCAACUGAAAGAAUCUCGUUGUAUAUUAUUAAGAAAACUGGACUGAAUAAACCUUGUUUGUUGAACCUUA